CGGAAGGGUUUCCGAUUCUUGAGGAAAAGUUUUUUAGCUUCAAACAGUUCUGCUCACAUUCACUGUGAUCUCUCUGCGAUAAUGUCGACUGGGGCACUGUUCCUCACAGCUGCAGCUGUUCUAACAGGACUUUGUCGAGGUGAUUCUGUCUGGCAGACACCGGCUUUGAUCGCAGUGAAUGUGGGGGACAGUGUCCAGUUGUUCUGUAAUUAUACUAAAACAAGCAACAAUGUUUACCUGUUCUGGUACCGUCAACAUUCUAGUGGUUCCAUGGAUUUUCUGCUAAAGAGAAACAAAUUUGACGGGAACGCAGAGAAGUUUCACGGAGACCGGUUAUCCUCAGAGCUCGAUCAUGUGAACAGCACCAUCAAGUUGAAAGUGGUGAUAACAGAACUGGCAGACUCUGCAGUGUAUUACUGCGCACUGAGCCCCACGGAGACUCAGAACUGGUCUGACCCUGUACAAAAACUGUCAGAGAGUCACUGA